CAGCAGCCGCGGUAAUACAGAGGGUGCAAGCGUUAAUCGGAAUUACUGGGCGUAAAGCGCGCGUAGGUGGUUUGUUAAGUCUGUUGUGAAAGCCCCGGGCUCAACCUGGGAAUGGCAAUGGAUACUGGCGAGCUAGAGUGUGUCAGAGGAUGGUGGAAUUCCCGGUGUAGCGGUGAAAUGCGUAGAGACCGGGAGGAACAUCAGUGGCGAAGGCGGCCAUCUGGGACAACACUGACGCUGAGGUACGAAAGCAUGGGGAGCAAACAGGAUUAGAUACCCGCGUAGUCCCUGUCUCUUAUAC
rnacentral:rRNA from 1 species